AGGGCAAAACUGCGGGGUGCAACUCAAAAUUAGGAAGGUGUCCUUAAUGUUUUGUACACUCACUGUAUGUUAUACUUAUGAUAAAUAACAUGAUGUGACUGACCUGCUUUCAGGUGGACUCAGAGCUGGCUCCCUUCCGUAGUGUCUUUCAAAGAUACACAGGAAGCAGUCAGGACCUAGACUCCGAUGCUGUGGACGCCACACAGAAAGAGUUGCAGUGCUGUGGAAUCUAUGACUAUCCGUGACUGGUUGGCCACGCCCUGGUGGGUGGGGCAGUGUACCUCACAGCUGCUGUAAUUCCACCACCACACCUGUAACGGUACCCUAGAGCUGCCCGGGCUACUAUAUCCAAAGGGCUGCCAGGUGAAGCUGGAGGAGGCCUUGCUUUUUGUUCUGCAUCUCAUCAUCUGGUCAUCUCUGGCAGUGGCACUAGUGGAGACUGUAGGGUUUGUGAGUGUGGCUCAGCUGAUGAGGGACCAGCCUCUGUUGAAGUAUGGAAUACUGGACAGGGAGUGGGCCUGAACCAGAGUGGCAGAAAGUAUUCUGGACUGAGAAUCUACUUUAGAAAUACUAUGUCCUGGAACUUGGUAAAGUUCAUGAUGCUGUGGACCUUAAAGGCCCAGUACUGUCACAAAUGUGAUUUACCUGUGUUUUAUAUAAUAUUUCCAAAGGUACACACACACACACCAGCCCUGGCCUUCACACUGAGGUUGGAAGAAUACUAUGAAAUUGUGAAAAUGCUGAUAAGGCCUUUUUAGUGUAAGAGCUGUUUGAAAAGACUGCUCUCUAGUGGUGUGUGUGUGUGUGGUUAUAGUUGUCUGGGCAUGUCCAGAGCACCUAGGGUACCAUUACAGGUAAUUGAUGUAAUCAUCCCUGAUCUUGUUGGUGAAACUGCUUUUAAAAGAGUGAUUAUCUUUCUUUGUUUCACUAAACUAAUGUAUACACAUCUGUGAAGGGAGGAAGGAAGAUGUACUCUAAAAGUGUUGGAAAGUGUCAUACACUUCCUUCGUUUCAUAAGGAUCAACUGGAAUACGUAAUGGCCUCUGUUUUGGUUUGUUUGUUUUUGUUCACUGAUGUAGAUACAUGCUGGUUAAAGAAAGCACUCCAUCAAAAUAAAUUGUCACAUGUCCUGCAGAUGAUAUAUUAAUGACAUUUUUAAACUACCCUGCCUGGCUUUUGAGUAAUUGACUGGUUGAUACUGUGCUGUGUGACUAUUGUUUGAUUUUAACUUACUGGUUUAUAGCUGGGGGAUUCUGCAACUUCGGGCCCUUUGGCCCUGCAAGCUUUCAGAAAUUAAAAGUUAUUGAAACACCAUUUUUACCAGUAUUGUAAUUCUUUGAUUUAUUUAGAAAUAAUAUCCGAUAAUGGCUGCGAUCAUCCUAUUCAGGAAUGUACACUUCCAUUCAAAAGUUGGGGGUCACUUAGAAAUGUCCUUGAUUUUGAAAGAAAAGCAAAUCAUUUUUUUGUCCAUUAAAAUUGAUCAGAAAUACAAUGUAGAC